UGGGGAAUAUUGCACAAUGGGCGCAAGCCUGAUGCAGCCAUGCCGCGUGUAUGAAGAAGGCAUUCGGGUUGUAAAGUACUUUCAGCGGGGAGGAAGGGAGUAAAGUUAAUACCUUUGCUCAUUGACGUUACCCGCAGAAGAAGCACCGGCUAACUCCGUGCCAGCAGCCGCGGUAAUACGGAGGGUGCAAGCGUUAAUCGGAAUUACUGGGCGUAAAGCGCACGCAGGCGGUUUGUUAAGUCAGAUGUGAAAUCCCCGGGCUCAACCUGGGAACUGCAUCUGAUACUGGCAAGCUUGAGUCUCGUAGAGGGGGGUAGAAUUCCAGGUGUAGCGGUGAAAUGCGUAGAGAUCUGGAGGAAUACCGGUGGCGAAGGCGGCCCCCUGGACGAAGACUGACGCUCAGGUGCGAAAGCGUGGGGAGCAAACA
rnacentral:rRNA from 1 species